rnacentral:lncRNA from 1 species
CAUAAUAACAAUUAUUGAUGGAAUAAUAUUAAAAGAAAUUCUGCGCUAAAUAUGAAAUCAUUGAUUUGAUAGCACAUAUUGAUUGUUGUCUAACUACAAUGCGAGUUGGCAUUGAAUAUUAGCCAUGGGCCGCGUGGCUGGGCCCUGGGGUGUACUAUUCUGGCCGUUCCUUUCUUCUAAGCGGGUGCUCCCAGGGUUUCGGGAGCUCUUCAACUUUUCGGCUAUUUGUGACUUCUGUAAAUUUUCUGUUUUUUACUAUCUGCAAGUUCUCCGCUGUCGGUGGUUCGAGUCUGCCUGCGAUUUGGUUGAUUAUCUUGGCCUCUUGCCGUUUAGCAUCCACAUUGUUCUCGUGUGCUCUAGUUGCUGGCGCUGUUGCUGGGUUCGCCGUUUGUAUAUUCCUUUUGUGCUCUUUGAUGCG